rnacentral:piRNA from 1 species
UCCUGAACCUCCCCUGAAGUGGGAAUGGA